CCCCUCUGCUCUAAACACAUUAAAUAUAUGUGUUUAAUGUUUUAUCUCCUCAGACUCGGGCCACCCGACCCAGUUCGUGGGUGUGAACCAAGGCCCUCGGUUAUGGGAGCACAAUAAAACCCCGCAGUACGCUCUGUCUCCAUCCUGGCCCUACCGGAUGCCCCAGAACUUCAUCCAGCAGGGCAACGGAGGCUACCAGCCCAGCAAGCCCUACGUGGCUCAAGGCUCCGUGGUUCACCCCAACCCGAACUUCCCCCUCGUCCCUCACGUCAGACAUCCAGUCAACCUGAACUUCAUCCAACAGAAGAAGUGAAUUUGCAUCUCCUUUUAAAAUCUGGUUUCAUGGUCAGUAAAACAAAAACCAACAUUAUGUACUCUUUACAUCAUUUGAUCACAAGGAUUUUUAAAAUGAAUUUUAUCAUUUUUGUACAGUUUUUAUGUUUUAUUUUUUGUCUCAUUACAUUGAUUUGUGAUACAAAUGUCAAAUAUUUUAAUACCCCCAUUUUUGAGGGGGUCCAAAAAAGUGUUUUUAUUUUAUGUGUAAAGUAAGGAGGAAAAAAAAUUGUAAACCUUUAUUUUUAUUAGCUGUAUUCAUACUUUUUGCUUGCCACAAGAUGAAGGCUUUGAAUAGACGUUUGUUUUAAAAAACAAUCUAACAUGUCACCCUUAGGUAUGUAGUGCCAAAAUGCAGGGAUAGCAAGAAAAAAGGGAAAAAAAUCUUAAAUAUUCAAGAAAAAAAAGAAAAAAAACCCUAAAAAAAAAUAAAGAAAAAAGCAAACUA